UUUGAAAUAACUAUUAUUUCAAUAUUUGCUUUUUCAGUUGAGCAUAAUAGUUUAUAGCCUGAUAGGCUUGGACAUAAUUGUCUACAUGUACUGCUCAGUAGGCGACAUCCUUUGGGAAAUUGAGGAUGUCCUCGUGCAUUUUCUAAAUACAAUUGUGGCAGAUCUGAGGAAGGAGGGGAGGAAUAAUCUCGCGGGAGAGUUCGGUGUAGAGGAAGAAGAACAAGAUAUUAUUUAUUUCUUGUGAACAGUCAAGCUUGUGCAUUGUCCCACUUUCUGGGGCCAGGCAACCUUGAAUCCAACGUCCACCUGCAGGCUACAUCUCAGAAAACUCAUGAACAUCAUGGCGCCUUGUUGAUGGGGUGAUCAAUAGCUACUAUAUUGGGACCCUGCACUUAAAUUGGGAAAUUGCAAAGCAUAUUAUGAAUUGUUACAAGAAACUAUUUCCGCUGUUUUGGUGCAAGGAUGUUGCUUUUUAGUAUGCUUCCCGUAUCUUGGUAUCUUGGAAUAAUAAACAGAUAGAUGUCGUGUACCAAGAUUGUUCCUUGUUGUUAAG